rnacentral:rRNA from 1 species
GUGUCAGCCGCCGCGGUAAGACGAACCGUGCGAACGUUGUUCGGAAUCACUGGGCUUAAAGGGCGCGUAGGCGGGCGGUCAAGUCUGUGGUGAAAUCCUUCGGCUCAACCGGAGAAUAGCUGGAGAUACUGGCCGUCUCGAGGGGGGUAGGGGCAUGUGGAACUUCCGGUGGAGCGGUGAAAUGCGUAGAUAUCGGAAGGAACGCCGGUGGCGAAAGCGACGUGCUGGACCCUUUCUGACGCUGAGGCGCGAAAGCCAGGGGAGCAAACGGGAUUAGAAACCCUCGUAGUCC